UACAGAGGGUGCAAGCGUUGUCCGGAAUCACUGGGCGUAAAGGGCGCGUAGGCGGCCCGAUAAGUAGGGGGUGAAAUCUUGCAGCUCAACCGCAAGGCUGCCUUCUAGACUGUCGGGCUUGAGCACAGUAGAGGCAGGUGGAAUUCCCGGUGUAGCGGUGAAAUGCGUAGAUAUCUGGAGGAACACCGGUGGCGAAGGCGGCAUCCUGGACCAAUAUUUGACGCUGAGGAGCGAAAGCCAGGGGAGCAAACGGG
rnacentral:rRNA from 1 species